GGUUAAGCGACUAAGCGUACACGGUGGAUGCCCUGGCAGUCAGAGGCGAUGAAGGACGUGCUAAUCUGCGAAAAGCGCCGGCGAGGUGAUAUGAACCUUUGACCCGGCGAUGUCCGAAUGGGGAAACCCAGUGUGAUUCGUCACACUAUCGUUAACUGAAUACAUAGGUUAACGAGGCGAACCGGGGGAACUGAAACAUCUAAGUACCCCGAGGAAAAGAAAUCAACCGAGAUUCCCCCAGUAGCGGCGAGCGAACGGGGAGCAGCCCAGAGUCUGAAUCAGCUUGUGUGUUAGUGGAAGCGUCUGGAAAGUCGCACGGUACAGGGUGACAGUCCCGUACACGAAAAUGCACAGGUUGUGAACUCGAAGAGUAGGGCGGGACACGUGGUAUCCUGUCUGAAUAUGGGGGGACCAUCCUCCAAGGCUAAAUACUCCUGACUGACCGAUAGUGAACCAGUACCGUGAGGGAAAGGCGAAAAGAACCCCGGCGAGGGGAGUGAAAAAGAACCUGAAACCGUGUACGUACAAGCAGUGGGAGCACCUUCGUGGUGUGACUGCGUACCUUUUGUAUAAUGGGUCAGCGACUUAUAUUCUGUAGCAAGGUUAACCGUAUAGGGGAGCCGAAGGGAAACCGAGUCUUAACUGGGCGUUAAGUUGCAGGGUAUAGACCCGAAACCCGGUGAUCUAGCCAUGGGCAGGUUGAAGGUUGGGUAACACUAACUGGAGGACCGAACCGACUAAUGUUGAAAAAUUAGCGGAUGACUUGUGGCUGGGGGUGAAAGGCCAAUCAAACCGGGAGAUAGCUGGUUCUCCCCGAAAGCUAUUUAGGUAGCGCCUCGUGAACUCAUCUUCGGGGGUAGAGCACUGUUUCGGCUAGGGGGCCAUCCCGGCUUACCAACCCGAUGCAAACUACGAAUACCGAAGAAUGUUAUCACGGGAGACACACGGCGGGUGCUAACGUCCGUCGUGAAGAGGGAAACAACCCAGACCGCCAGCUAAGGUCCCAAAGUCAUGGUUAAGUGGGAAACGAUGUGGGAAGGCACAGACAGCCAGGAUGUUGGCUUAGAAGCAGCCAUCAUUUAAAGAAAGCGUAAUAGCUCACUGGUCGAGUCGGCCUGCGCGGAAGAUGUAACGGGGCUAAACCAUGCACCGAAGCUGCGGCAGCGACGCUUAUGCGUUGUUGGGUAGGGGAGCGUUCUGUAAGCCGUUGAAGGUGGCCUGUGAGGGUUGCUGGAGGUAUCAGAAGUGCGAAUGCUGACAUAAGUAACGAUAAAGCGGGUGAAAAGCCCGCUCGCCGGAAGACCAAGGGUUCCUGUCCAACGUUAAUCGGGGCAGGGUGAGUCGACCCCUAAGGCGAGGCCGAAAGGCGUAGUCGAUGGGAAACAGGUUAAUAUUCCUGUACUUGGUGUUACUGCGAAGGGGGGACGGAGAAGGCUAUGUUAGCCGGGCGACGGUUGUCCCGGUUUAAGCAUGUAGGCGGAACGAUUAGGUAAAUCCGGUCGUUUUUUAACGCUGAGGUGUGAUGACGAGGCACUACGGUGCUGAAGUAACAAAUGCCCUGCUUCCAGGAAAAGCCUCUAAGCAUCAGGUAACAUCAAAUCGUACCCCAAACCGACACAGGUGGUCAGGUAGAGAAUACCAAGGCGCUUGAGAGAACUCGGGUGAAGGAACUAGGCAAAAUGGUGCCGUAACUUCGGGAGAAGGCACGCUGAUAUGUAGGUGAAGCCCCUGCGGGUGGAGCUGAAAUCAGUCGAAGAUACCAGCUGGCUGCAACUGUUUAUUAAAAACACAGCACUGUGCAAACACGAAAGUGGACGUAUACGGUGUGACGCCUGCCCGGUGCCGGAAGGUUAAUUGAUGGGGUUAGCGGCAACGCGAAGCUCUUGAUCGAAGCCCCGGUAAACGGCGGCCGUAACUAUAACGGUCCUAAGGUAGCGAAAUUCCUUGUCGGGUAAGUUCCGACCUGCACGAAUGGCGUAAUGAUGGCCAGGCUGUCUCCACCCGAGACUCAGUGAAAUUGAACUCGCUGUGAAGAUGCAGUGUACCCGCGGCAAGACGGAAAGACCCCGUGAACCUUUACUAUAGCUUGACACUGAACACUGGUCCUUGAUGUGUAGGAUAGGUGGGAGGCUUUGAAGUGUGGACGCCAGUCUGCAUGGAGCCGUCCUUGAAAUACCACCCUUUAAUGGCUGGUGUUCUAACGUAGACCCGUAAUCCGGGUUGCGGACAGUGUCUGGUGGGUAGUUUGACUGGGGCGGUCUCCUCCCAAAGAGUAACGGAGGAGCACGAAGGUUAGCUAAUCCUGGUCGGACAUCAGGAGGUUAGUGCAAUGGCAUAAGCUAGCUUGACUGCGAGAGUGACGGCUCGAGCAGGUGCGAAAGCAGGUCAUAGUGAUCCGGUGGUUCUGAAUGGAAGGGCCAUCGCUCAACGGAUAAAAGGUACUCCGGGGAUAACAGGCUGAUACCGCCCAAGAGUUCAUAUCGACGGCGGUGUUUGGCACCUCGAUGUCGGCUCAUCACAUCCUGGGGCUGAAGUAGGUCCCAAGGGUAUGGCUGUUCGCCAUUUAAAGUGGUACGCGAGCUGGGUUUAGAACGUCGUGAGACAGUUCGGUCCCUAUCUGCCGUGGGCGCUGGAGAAUUGAGGGGGGCUGCUCCUAGUACGAGAGGACCGGAGUGGACGCAUCACUGGUGUUCGGGUUGUCAUGCCAAUGGCACUGCCCGGUAGCUAAAUGCGGAAAAGAUAAGUGCUGAAAGCAUCUAAGCACGAAACUUGCCCCGAGAUGAGUUCUCCCUGAGACUUUAAGUCUCCUGAAGGAACGUUAAAGACGAUGACGUUGAUAGGUCGGGUGUGUAAGCGCAGCGAUGCGUUGAGCUAACCGAUACUAAUGAACCGUGAGGCUUAACCUU
rnacentral:rRNA from 1 species